UACAGAGGUUUCAAGCGUUGUUCGGAUUCAUUGGGCGUAAAGGGUGCGUAGGCGGCGCGUUAAGUCAGGUGUGAAAUUUCGGAGCUUAACUCCGAAACUGCAUUUGAUACUGGCGUGCUUGAGGACUGGAGAGGAGACUGGAAUUCAUGGUGUAGCAGUGAAAUGCGUAGAUAUCGUAAGGAAGACCAGUGGCGAAGGCGGGUCUCUGGACAGUUCCUGACGCUGAGGCACGAAGGCCAGGGGAGCAAACGGG
rnacentral:rRNA from 1 species